rnacentral:rRNA from 1 species
GACGAACCGAGCGAACGUUAUUCGGAAUCACUGGGCUUAAAGGGCGCGUAGGCGGGCCAUCAAGUCAGGGGUGAAAGCCCCCAGCUCAACUGGGGAAGUGCCUCUGAUACUGACGGCCUCGAGGGAGAUAGGGGCGUGCGGAACUUCCGGUGGAGCGGUGAAAUGCGUAGAUAUCGGAAGGAACACCGGUGGCGAAAGCGGCGCGCUGGAUCUCUUCUGACGCUGAGGCGCGAAAGCCAGGGGAGCGAACGGG